GAUGAACGCUGGCGGCGUGCCUAAUACAUGCAAGUCGAGCGAACAGACGAGGAGCUUGCUCCUCUGACGUUAGCGGCGGACGGGUGAGUAACACGUGGAUAACCUACCUAUAAGACUGGGAUAACUUCGGGAAACCGGAGCUAAUACCGGAUAAUAUAUUGAACCGCAUGGUUCAAUAGUGAAAGACGGUUUUGCUGUCACUUAUAGAUGGAUCCGCGCCGCAUUAGCUAGUUGGUAAGGUAACGGCUUACCAAGGCAACGAUGCGUAGCCGACCUGAGAGGGUGAUCGGCCACACUGGAACUGAGACACGGUCCAGACUCCUACGGGAGGCAGCAGUAGGGAAUCUUCCGCAAUGGGCGAAAGCCUGACGGAGCAACGCCGCGUGAGUGAUGAAGGUCUUCGGAUCAUAAAACUCUGUUAUUAGGGAAGAACAAAUGUGUAAGUAACUAUGCACGUCUUGACGGUACCUAAUCAGAAAGCCACGGCUAACUACGU
rnacentral:rRNA from 1 species